rnacentral:rRNA from 1 species
AUUGAACGCUGGCGGCAGGCCUAACACAUGCAAGUCGGACGGUAGCACAGAGGAGCUUGCUCCUCGGGUGACGAGUGGCGGACGGGUGAGUAAUGUCUGGGGAUCUGCCCGAUAGAGGGGGAUAACCACUGGAAACGGUGGCUAAUACCGCAUAACGUCGCAAGACCAAAGAGGGGGACCUUCGGGCCUCUCACUAUCGGAUGAACCCAGAUGGGAUUAGCUAGUAGGCGGGGGAAUGGCCCACCUAGGCGACGAUCCCAAGCUGGUCUGAGAGAGUGACAAGCCACACUGGAACAGAGCAACGGCCCAGACUCCUACGGGAGGCAGCAGUGGGGAAUAUUGCACAAUGGGCGCAAGCCUGAUGCAGCCAUGCCGCGUGUAUGAAGAAGGCCUUCGGGUUGUAAAGUACUUUCAGCGGGGAGGAAGGCGAUAAGGUUAAUAACCUUGUCGAUUGACGUUACCCGCAGAAGAAGCACCGGCUAACUCCGUGCCAGCAGCCGCCGUAA